UACAGGGGGUGCAAACGUUGCUCGGAAUCAUUGGGCGUAAAGCGCACGUAGGCGGUCUGUUAUGUCGGAUGUGAAAGCCCUUGGCUCAACUGAGGAAGUGCAUCCGAAACUGGCAGGCUAGAGUACUAAAGAGGAUCGCGGAAUUCCCGGUGUAGAGGUGAAAUUCGUAGAUAUCGGGAGGAACACCGGUGGCGAAGGCGGCGAUCUGGGUAGAUACUGACGCUGAGGUGCGAAAGCGUGGGGAGCGAUCCGG
rnacentral:rRNA from 1 species